rnacentral:rRNA from 1 species
GAUUUUGAUCCUGGCUCAGGAUGAACGCUGGCGGCGUGCUUAACACAUGCAAGUCGAACGAUGAUCCGGUGCUUGCGCCGGGGAUUAGUGGCGAACGGGUGAGUAACACGUGAGUAACCUGCCCUUAACUCUGGGAUAAGCCUGGGAAACUGGGUCUAAUACCGGAUAUGACUCCUCAUCGCAUGGUGGGGGGUGGAAAGCUUUAUUGUGGUUUUGGAUGGACUCGCGGCCUAUCAGCUUGUUGGUGAGGUAAUGGCUCACCAAGGCGACGACGGGUAGCCGGCCUGAGAGGGUGACCGGCCACACUGGGACUGAGACACGGCCCAGACUCCUACGGGAGGCAGCAGUGGGGAAUAUUGCACAAUGGGCGCAAGCCUGAUGCAGCGACGCCGCGUGAGGGAUGACGGCCUUCGGGUUGUAAACCUCUUUCAGUAGGGAAGAAGCGAAAGUGACGGUACCUGCAGAAGAAGCGCCGGCUAACUACGUGCCAGCAGCCGCGGUAAUACGUAGGGCGCAAGCGUUAUCCGGAAUUAUUGGGCGUAAAGAGCUCGUAGGCGGUUUGUCGCGUCUGCCGUGAAAGUCCGGGGCUCAACUCCGGAUCUGCGGUGGGUACGGGCAGACUAGAGUGAUGUAGGGGAGACUGGAAUUCCUGGUGUAGCGGUGAAAUGCGCAGAUAUCAGGAGGAACACCGAUGGCGAAGGCAGGUCUCUGGGCAUUAACUGACGCUGAGGAGCGAAAGCAUGGGGAGCGAACAGGAUUAGAUACCCUGGUAGUC